UCCUUCGGGAGGUGGGCGAGUGGCGAACGGGUGCGUAACACGUAGGAAUCUGCCCCAAAGAGGGGGAUAACCGAUGGAAACGGUGGCUAAUCCCGCAUACCCUCGCGAGAGGAAAGCUCCGGCGCUUUGGGAUGAGCCUGCGGCCUAUCAGGUAGUUGGUGGGGUAACGGCCCACCAAGCCGACGACGGGUAGGGGGCGUGAGAGCGUGGCCCCCCACACGGGAACUGAGACACGGUCCCGACGCCUACGGGCGGCAGCAGUGAGGAAUCUUGCACAAUGGGGGCAACCCUGAUGCAGCGACGCCGCGUGCGGGAAGAAGGCCUUCGGGUCGUAAACCGCUUUUCUGGGGGAAGAGGAAGAACGGUACCCCAGGAAUAAGUCCCGGCUAACUACGUGCCAGCAGCCGCGGUAAAACGUAGGGGGCGAGCGUUAUCCGGAAUUACUGGGCGUAAAGGGCGUCUAGGCGGCACGCCAAGUCUCGCGUGAAAGCUCCCGGCUCAACUGGGAGAGGGCGCGGGAAACUGGCGAGCUAGAGACUCGGAGGGGGGUGUGGAAUUCCCGGUGGAGUGGUGAAAUGCGUUGAGAUCGGGAGGAACACCCGUGGCGAAGGCGGCACCCUGGCCGAGGUCUGACGCUGAAGCGCGACAGCGUGGGGAGCAAACGGGAUUAGAUACCCCGGUAGUCCACGCCGUAAACGAUGACAACUAGGUGUCGGGUGUCCAAGGACGUUCGGUACCGCAGCUAACGCGUUAAGUUGUC
rnacentral:rRNA from 1 species